GUGUGUCUCGGGUCCCUGAAAUACAACCAGACCAACACUAAACCGUCCCGCACACCUAGAAAACGGAUCCGAGGAUUCACACAACAAUCUGCGCCACCUGAACCACCGAACUCAGCAGAUGGUAGCAGGUGCAUG